CGCGUAGGUGGUUUGUUAAGUUGGAUGUGAAAGCCCCGGGCUCAACCUGGGAACUGCAUCCAAAACUGGCAAGCUAGAGUACGGUAGAGGGUGGUGGAAUUUCCUGUGUAGCGGUGAAAUGCGUAGAUAUAGGAAGGAACACCAGUGGCGAAGGCGACCACCUGGACUGAUACUGACACUGAGGUGCGAAAGCAUGGGGAGCGAACA
rnacentral:rRNA from 1 species